rnacentral:rRNA from 1 species
UCCGAAGGGGUCUACCGUUGCCCGGAAUGACUGGGCGUAAAGGGCGCGUAGGCGGCUUACAUAGUUAGGCAUGAAAUUCCUGGGCUCAACCUGGGGACUGCGUCUAAUACAUGUAGGCUUGAGUGUGAAAGAGGGUCGUGGAAUUUCCAGUGUAGAGGUGAAAUUCGUAGAUAUUGGAAAGAACACCGGUGGCGAAGGCGGCGACCUGGUUCAUUACUGACGCUGAGGCGCGAAAGCGUGGGGAGCAAACAGG